rnacentral:rRNA from 1 species
UUUAAAGAGAGUUUGAUCCUGGCUCAGGACGAACGCUGGCGGCGUGCCUAAUACAUGCAAGUCGAACGAACGGAGGAAGAGCUUGCUCUUCCAAAGUUAGUGGCGGACGGGUGAGUAACACGUGGGCAACCUGCCUGUAAGUUGGGGAUAACUCCGGGAAACCGGGGCUAAUACCGAAUGAUAAAGUGU